rnacentral:rRNA from 1 species
UGUAAGCGUAUACCAAAGUUGUUGCAGUUAAAACGCUCGUAGUCGGAAUUUGGCAGUUCCGGAAGUGUGCACGUCGUGUGCGCACUUUGCGGGGACUGCUUUUGUGGUCUUGCGUAGGAUGAGGCACUUUCAUUAGUGAACGUCCUCACGCAACCACUCUUUACUGUGAGAAAAUCAGAGUGCUCAAAGCAGGCAUUUGCCGUGAAUGUAUUAGCAUGGAAUAAUAGAAUAGGACUCGGUUCUAUUUUGUUGGUUUGUUGGGACUGAGUAAUGAUUAAGGGGGACAGUUGGGGGCAUUUGUAUUCCGGCGCUAGAGGUGAAAUUCUUAGAUUGCCGGAAGACAAACUGCUGCGAAAGCGUCUGCCAAGGAUGUUUUCAUUGA